CGAGUUGGUUAGACAAUCGCUGGUUUAUUGAAGCCCUUAACCGUGUUCGCACGACCUAGUGGGACAAGUAAACGAGAGGAAAGUCCGAGCUACAAAGGGCAGAGUGCCGGAUAACAUCCGGGCGGCGUGAGCCGACGACCAGUGCAACAGAGAGCAGACCGCCGUGAAAACGGUAAGGGUGAAAGGGUGUGGUAAGAGCACACCGUGCCGUUGGUAACAACGUGCAGCAAGGUAAACUCCACUCGUAGCAAGACCAAAUAGGAACUCAAUGGAUGGCCCGUCCAGAGAGUUCGGGUAGGUUGCUUGAGCGGCAGAGUAAUUUGUCGCCUAGAGGAAUGAUUGUCCACGACAGAACUCGGCUUAUCGACCAACUCAACAA
rnacentral:RNase_P_RNA from 1 species